AGUCAUUUCCACGCAUCCGACAAGCAUACCCAUGUGAAAAAUACUUAUUCGAAUUCAAGGACUGUAGAUCACUUUUUAAUUUUAAACAAGAGGCUGUCACAACGACAGCAAACCGGAUUUAUUAACAUUUAUUUGUGUCCUGGCAAUAUCACAAGAACCAUUACUGAUGAAUGGGGAUAGUGAAAAUCGUCAAUAUCAAAUUUGACCUCCAUUUUGUCAUCAGUAUCUACAUAUUAAAAUUUGAAAAGCUUAGAUUGAAUGGUUCAUGAUUAAAUGCAACAACGUGAAUGGAAACGCCAUUUUACGAUCUUGCAAGAACCAUAACUCCUGAACGGUAAAAGUCAAAAUCGUCAUUAUUGAACUUGACCUCUAU
rnacentral:lncRNA from 1 species